CAAUGGGGAAUUUUCCGCAAUGGGCGAAAGCCUGACGGAGCAACGCCGCGUGAGGGAUGAAGGCCUCUGGGCUGUAAACCUCUUUUAUCAAGGAAGAAGAUCUGACGGUACUUGAUGAAUAAGCCACGGCUAAUUCCGUGCCAGCAGCCGCGGUAAUACGGGAGUGGCAAGCGUUAUCCGGAAUUAUUGGGCGUAAAGCGUCCGCAGGCGGCCCAGAAAGUCUGCUGUUAAAAAGUGGAGCUUAACUCCAUCAUGGCAGUGGAAACUUCUGGGCUAGAGUGUGGUAGGGGCAGAGGGAAUUCCCGGUGUAGCGGUGAAAUGCGUAGAUAUCAGGAAGAACACCAGUGGCGAAGGCGCUCUGCUGGGCCAUAACUGACGCUCAUGGACGAAAGCCAGGGGAGCGAAAGGGAUUAGAUACCCCUGUAGUCAAUC
rnacentral:rRNA from 1 species